GCAGCCAUCAUUUAAAGAAAGCGUAAUAGCUCACUGGUCGAGUCGGCCUGCGCGGAAGAUGUAACGGGGCUAAACCAUGCACCGAAGCUGCGGCAGCGACACUGUGUGUUGUUGGGUAGGGGAGCGUUCUGUAAGCCUGUGAAGGUGGCCUGUGAGGGUUGCUGGAGGUAUCAGAAGUGCGAAUGCUGACAUAAGUAACGAUAAAGCGGGUGAAAAGCCCGCUCGCCGGAAGACCAAGGGUUCCUGUCCAACGUUAAUCGGGGCAGGGUGAGUCGACCCCUAAGGCGAGGCCGAAAGGCGUAGUCGAUGGGAAACGGGUUAAUAUUCCCGUACUUGGUGUUACUGCGAAGGGGGGACGGAGAAGGCUAUGUUGGCCGGGCGACGGUUGUCCCGGUUUAAGCGUGUAGGCUGGUUUUCCAGGCAAAUCCGGUUCACUUUAAAACUGAGGCGUGACGACGAGGCACUACGGUGCUGAAGCAACAAAUGCCCUGCUUCCAGGAAAAGCCUCUAAGCAUCAGGUAACAUCAAAUCGUACCCCAAACCGACACAGGUG
rnacentral:rRNA from 1 species